rnacentral:rRNA from 1 species
UCUGUGGCGAAUGUGCGAAAAAAAGAGAGCAUCUGUAGCGACUCUCUCCAGUUGCCAAGCGGCACUUCGCUUCCUUCAUCUUCCCGGGCGGUGCGGUGCGUACGGCGCAACCAGAUCUCACGGCGAGGCCGAGCUAACCGCCUCCGGAUCCGCACAAACCCCCAACAGCCGUACGCACCGCAGCAGCGGCGGCGGAGGAGCAUGGAGAGCUCGUCGCCUUCGGUGCCGUUCCCGCUGCUGCAGGCGCCAGUGGAGAGCACGUACCGUGCCUGCACCAUACCCUACCGCUUCCCCUCCGACAACCCCCACAAGGCCACCCCCGUCGAGAUCCAGUGGAUCGACCUCUUCCUGAAAUCCGUGCCAUCCUUCAGGCAGCGGGCGGAGAAUGACCCCACGGUGCCGGAUGCCCCCGCCAAGGCCGAGAAGUUUGCUCAGAGGUACACUGAUAUGCUUGAGGAGUUGAAGAAGAACCCAGAGAGCCAUGGAGGACCUCCUGAUUGCAUACUUCUUUGUAGGCUUCGUGAGCUAAUCCUUAGAGAAUUGGGGUUUCAUGACAUCUUCAAGAAGGUCAAGGAUGAGGAGAACGCUAAGGCUAUGUCACUGUUUGAGGGAGUUGUUCAGCGGAAUGAUGAAAUAGAAGAUGGUGAGAAACGAGCAGAGAACUUGAUCCGUGGAAUCUUAGCAGGAAACAUAUUUGACUUAGGGUCUGCACAGCUUGCAGAAGUUUUUGCUAAAGAUGGCAUGUCCUUCUUGGCGAGUUGCCAGAAUCUUUUAUCUCGACCUUGGGUUAUUGAUGACCUAGAUGCAUUUAAAAGCAAAUGGACCAAGAAAUCUUGGGAAAAGGCAGUUAUUUUUGUUGAUAAUUCUGGUGCUGAUAUCAUAUUGGGCAUAUUACCAUUUGCGAGGGAGUUGCUCCGACGUGGCACUAAGGUGAUACUUGCCGCCAAUGACAUGCCUUCCAUCAACGAUAUCACUUACCUAGAGUUAGUUGAGAUUGUAAACAAGCUCAAGGACGAAAAUGGAAAGCUUGCUGGUGUGGAUGUAUCUGACCUCAUUGUUGCCAACUCCGGGAACGAUCUGCCAGUAAUAGAUUUGUCUAGCGUCGCACCGGAACUAGCCUAUAUGGCAAGUGAUGCUGACUUGGUCAUCCUAGAAGGCAUGGGAAGAGGAAUCGAAACCAACCUAUACGCACAAAUGAGAUGUGACUCGAUCAAGAUUGGAAUGGUCAAGCAUCCUGAAGUGGCGCAGUUUUUGGGUGGAAGGCUUUAUGAUUGUGUCUUCAAGUUCAACGAGGCCUGAAAAACACUGAAGCCCCUGCAUGGCACCAGCCAUAUUGCAUUCAUUUUAAUCAUUGAUUACUGAUGCAAUCGUACACUGAAUGUAUGCGUCCACGAUGAUAGCAAGUGGAAGAAAUUACAAUUCGCUUGUUGUACUGUGAGGAAGGACAAUUUUUAUUGCAGAUGUGUCAAGACACCCCUUUCUACGCUCCAGGUUAAUAAUAUAAGAGUAAAUUGAGGUGCAGGUUGGAAUUCCCUAUUUGCCACAUAUUGCGGCAAACUGCGGGCGCUUCGCACAGGGCGAGCGGCAGAGCGGGCCUAUUUGUGUAGAUUUCGUAGGUACUACACCAUCCACUUUUGAUUCUUUUAUCGGUUUUCUGGUUUCUUUUGGUUUUUUGUUCCCUAUAAACAUUACUAGCACAAAUGCCCGUGCGUUGCAACGGGAAAAGAUAGUUUAUUUUCAAGUUUAUUUAAAAUAAUAUGUGCAAAAAUACAUUCAUUGUUCAUGCAAAUUUUAGUCAAUUUUUUUCAAGAUCCCAAAUUAUUGAAAUAGGACAUGCUAAUCUUAUAGAAUAUAUUUCUUUACCUACAUCAACAUAUUUUUUUCUAUGAUUUUUUUAAGGAACUCAUUCUUAAAAGAAAUUAGGAACUUGAUAAAGUUUAGCCAAUACCGCUCACUAAAUUCGGAGAGAGAUAGCAUAACUUCGCAGCAACUAUUAUAUUUUUGGGCUUCUUCAUGUGGAUGAACAUUCACAUUCAACGAAAGUGAUCUAUUUGAAUAUUUUUUAUAUUGAAAAUAUUGUACUAAAAUAGUGUUUUGGCUCCCCACAUUUCUUGUUUAAAACAAAGUCUAUUUUUUUUUUCAUUGACAUUCUUAGCUUCACCGACAACUCAACAUGGACAUAGCAAAAUCCCCUGCGCAGCAGGAAGCAGGCCUUGUAUUGGAAUUUCAACAACAAUGGUUUUGUCGAGCGCCGAAAGCAGUAUGUAUUUAAAUGUACCUCAGCAUUUCAGGACACGACCUGCGGCUAAUUGGACAUGCUAAGGAGCAGAGCCCGAUCGAUCAGUGGCUUCCUCAGAGAUGCACUUCAUUUUUAGGAUCAAUAAGCCACUUCAUUUCUUAAAAAAAAAAGCAUUAGGAAACUUGUCUGAUACAAUUUCGAGAAUACAAUUCGAUGGGUCCUGAACUUCUCGUGCUAUGUUAGCCACAUUAUUUUCUGGAUUUUCUAACCCUGCCAACCUUUGAGCAUCAUCGCCACAGCCUUGCUAUCCACCUCUAAGUGAACAUUGUAUUAUUAGUAAGUAUACAAUAUAAUAGAUAUAGAUAAAGUCAAGUAUUUUGGCAAAAACAAGAUAUAGAUUUUUUUGAGGGGUAAAAGAAUAUAGAUAAAGUAGCAUGGAGUAAUAAACAGGCUCUUUUUCUACCUUAUUGGGGCCGGUCGGCCCAGCCGGCCCUGCCAGCUCACGGUGCCACGCGUCGGGCGGCCCCCUGUGUCUCUGUGUUCUCUUCUCCGUCUGUCCCGUUUUCUCCCCCCUCCCGAACUCUCUCAUUGAAGCUGUCCUCGACCCCCUUCUCCACCUCACGGCCGCCGGUCGAUUCCAGCCGCCGACGGUGAGAACCGUCGCUUUCCAGCACCCCUCAUGCACAUACCAGCCCACACUACCUCCUCUACCAAGUGGAUUCAACACUCCCACCGACCCACGCCUCAGCAUGGUCUCCCCGGCGUCGUCUAUGCACUGCCCCGACCGCCACAUCCUGGCUUUGGUCCCAUGCUGCCCUGGCUGUGGUCGUCGACCUUGGCGGCGCACGGUCGCCAUGGCCGUGACCUCUUGCGGUAUGUGCACAAGAAGAAGAACCACAUCAUGUAGAUGAUGAGGCGGCCGCGUCGGCCAGAGGCUUAACCAGGAGCAGAAGGAGGUGAUGCGCUCCAAGCCCAGCUUCACCGCCAUCAUCGGCAAGCUCAAGCACCUCCAUGCGCGCCGCUCUCCCUACUUCCGCAGUGAGCGUGUCCCACCGCGACGCGCUCCAGGCCUGUGGCCAGCAUGCCCGCUUAUGGCUCGCCCGCGCCGAUGAGCCGAUCCACCCUGGCUCCUCUUUUACUUAUGGUGCGGUGAGGGUUAAGCUGGACAGGAUAAUGGCAUCAGACUACUACAAACAGCUGCAAUUGGUGGGAGCUAUGGAGCUGAAGGUGUGCAGGCACAGGAGAGUAUUACUAUCUCACCAGAGGCACAUUCAGUAGAGGAGAACCUGGCUGCUGAAGGCCACAAGGUGAAGGGGCAAAUUACACUCAUAUUGUAAUUUAAUACAGUAUAUGCUUAGCAUGCUGCAAUUAUCAUUGCCUUGAAACUGUGUUCUGAUCUUUGUUGACGAUUGAUCUGUUGUAGUGCACAAUACUCCUAGCAUUAUUAUUAUCUGCUGCUGCUGUUGCUGUUGCUGCCGAUUCAGUAGUAAUCAUGUACAUUGAGUGUUGUACGGCGGAGCAUCGGGAGGCUUUCAGUAAACCAAUAGAAGAAAUUCUGCAUUUUUACACCCUAGUCACAACCUGGGUCUUAACGACACACAAGAGGCCCAACUUUAAAUGCUGAAAAGCAAGAACAUGAGUUGCGGCUUCAACUGGCUUAUCUACAUGAUGAAUGUGACCAUAUGUUACACAGAUGAGUUCCUAUCCUUCUCUUUCUUGCAUUUUUCAUCGAGUUGAAAUUUCUUCAUUGUGUCUGGUGACUAUGAAAAAAUAUGUUUAUGAGGAAAAUAUUCAUGUUUUAAUCAAAAGACUAAGUAGAGUAGAUAAAAUUACUCAGAUAUCUGCUGUAUCUUGGCAAACCCCUUGUUUUUAAAUAACAUGUAUGCUAGUAUGUAGAUGUAGUUACUUGAAACAGAAAUAUAAGAUGAAUUAGCAUGUCAUUAUCAGUAAGAAACAAUCCAGUGAAUGAUCGCCACCUAACAACAACAAAAGGGCAACCUGGUGCAUGUAGCUCCCGCUUGCGCAGGGUCCAGGGAAGGGUCCGACCACUUUGGGUCUAUAGUAUGCAACCUUUCCCUACAUUUCUGUAAGAGGCUGUUUCCAGGACUUGAACCCAUGACCUCAUGGUCACAAGGCAUCAGCUUUACCACUGCGCCAAGGCUCCCCCUCACCUAACAACAACAACAAAAUUAUAUAUUUUCCAUAUGACUUGCUCCAUCAAAGAUUUUUGUGUCCCUAGCUAGCAAAAUGGCAGGAUAAACUAAAAUGUAACAAUUCUGGAUGGAAACAAAAGGGAUUAAGAUCACUACAGAAAAGGAACACAGAAUACACACAUAUAGAUGUAAGGCAGACAUGUGAGAUGAAAUAGGCACAAUAAUUUUUUCCACUGGUUAGGAACAAUGUUCAGUAUCUUUUUCAAUGUGUUCCUGUAUGAAAAGGCUAUUAUGCAGCCACAGUAGGGUGAAGAAACAUAUGAAAGAGAGCUUGAAUGCUUACUGUCGGGAAAUAGUGUUUAAUGUGUAAGAUACACUAACCCGAUAAAACACACUUUACCAUAGUCUACAAAAUCCGAUUCCUGCAUGCAUCCGGUAAAAAUGUUGCACGAAUCAAUGGAUGCAUGAUAAGAGAGGGAAUCGUACUAAAAGUAGUUAGCUUGAGACACAGUGUUACUCCUGUUCUUGGGGCAUAUGGUGCAUCAGUAUAACUCAUGUGGCUAGUGCACCGUAUGUGCCCCCAACUUACUUUUGUGUAAGGGCUGCCAUUAUGUUCCAAGGUAAGUAAUAGGAAAUGAGUUUUGCUAUCUAACACAGGAUAUUGGGUUCAAACAAUGUAUACUACCCCUGUUGCAAAGACAUGCAAAUGUGAUCAACUCAUUCCAACUCCUUAAGUCAAUUGUUUCCUUCUAGGUCUUUGAUUCAGAAGUUGUCAUAUCAGACUAUGUUUCUGCUGUAAACGACACAAAUAGAAAUUCAGUUAUGUUACUUUCAUUUUGCAAAUCUUCAGUAAAUAAAAAACUGUAAAAUAAACAGAAGUGGCACAAAUUGUGAAGUACAACAGAACCAAGCCACCAAUUUCCAAGUGAUCUUGCAUGACCAAUGCCAAUAUCAUUAUUACAAAUUAUCAGAAUGUUGAGGUAAGGAGUAGAUUAACUACCAAACUGUACUGCUAAGUUUCAUUUUGUUCCAAACAGUGUGCCAAUUCACAUGGACCAAGCUUAUAUGUGGUAUUUCCAACCCACAAACUAAACAGAUUUCUUUAGUUCAGAUCAUACUUUUAUGUAGGAAAAGGCUAGGCUCUUAAGAACCCUAACCAAUGCUGCUUUGGUUUUACAACUUUCAUUGCUUCUAACUUCCAAAUCAAACUGUUGUUACACACAUAUUUGUUGUAUAGAUGCACCCUAAAAAUUCCUACAUUUACUUUCUUGUAGAAUUGCAUUUUUCUGGUUGUAAAAAUAGGGUGAGCAACAGCUUUCUUGUCAACAUGAUGGCCUCCUGAAGAUAAUUGAGACCCAUCCAUCACUUAUUUGUGAACUAAUUUUCAGUUUCUUCUGUCGAUGAUAAGUGAGCUACUUUUUCCUUAGAGAUCACCUUCCCAUUGGCACUAACUUGUAUGGCACAGAUUCCCUUCCUAAUACACUCGUAAUGCAUAGAUAGUCCCUCCUAAUCAUUUUGAGUUCGUUUUUUGUCAAGAUUCAGAUGAAAUUUCCCACAUUGGAGACUCGUAUUUUGUUAAUCAGGUGCUGAAGGUAAGAUCGGGAGUAAGCAUGCAGAGUUGAUUUUUUACUUCCAAUUUGAAAAAUUGCAGAAAAAAUCAAUCCUCUCCACUUGAAGGUAGAUUGAUGCACACAUAUUUGAUCUUACCUUGCAAGCACCGUUUUAUGAAGACAGUAUGCAUGAUCAUGGACCAAUGCAGUGAGUGCUCAACCCAUCUGUACACAUGCUGCACUAUGCCCCCGUGCCGCUGCCAUCCUUAUCUUGCCUCUCCUGGAUCUGAGUCCCAACAGUGUCGUCUUGCUGUCCCUUCCCGGGUUAACUCGAUCUUGCAGGAGAGGAGGAUGGGAGGCCUUGGCUAGAGUCAGCACUGGCUGGAGAUAACGCUGGAGAAGGGGCUGCAAUGGAACUGUGGAGGGCGGGUCGACGAAUCAUCCCACACUGCGCGACGCACGGGGUGAGCAGCGAAGGAAGUCUGGGGUGGCGCCCGAGAAGAUUGGAGGCGGAUGGGGAGGUGGCGGAUGGUCGAAGAAGAAGACCGGCCGCGCUGCCGCACAUGGCAGCGGCGGCGGCGCAGUACUCGUACGCGAGGAUGAGAGCCCGUGCUCGUGCCUGUGUGUUUUUCUUUGUUUAGCACUGAAAGUAGCACCGCGUGUAAAUUAAUAACAAAUGUAGGGACCUUUUGUAAGAACGAAACGUUUUUUCGAUUGACCAGUUAAAAU